AAAUCCUCUCCCAUGACUUCAUGGGAUAGUAAAGUGUCCAUCAUAUGCACACUUCAGAAUCUUGCUGGAAGAAGUAGGUCAGCUGGGUACUUUUUGCCUACUGUUUUAUGAGCUGUGUUGGGGAAAGUUACUUUUAACAGUAAUGCAUUACAAUAUUGCUUUACUCCUUAAAAAAGUAACUAAUUAAGUUACUUUUUAUAAAAAAGUAAUGUGUUACAUUACUUUUGCGUUACUUUUUCUCACCUGGGCUGGGCUUGCUUGUUUGUUUUUUAAUAACAAUAAAAAAAGUUAUAUUUUUUGGCAAAAUUAAUGUUAAGGCCCUUUCACACCAAAAGUGAAAUGAAUAAGCCUAUCAGGCUGAAGGAAAUGCAAAUUUAUGCCUGUACAGUAGAGGGCGCAGCUCAAACAAACCUUUCAGCUGUGCUGCCAUUCUGGAAUAAAGAAGAAAAGGAUACAAGAAAAGGAAGUUCAACACAAGGGCUGCAUCCGAAAACUGGAAAAUGCUGCCUUCAGAGGACACAUUUCAAGGAGGAAAAUCAAUUUCUGAUGACAAUCCUGUGUGCUGCACUGAAAGGCAGAGAGUUCCUGAGUCCUGGGAAAGUUGCUGUUGGAGACGGAGGCUAAUCUCGGCAGAAUGAAUCAUUCACACUCUUAUUUGGACAUCUGUGUUAACAUUUUCCCCCCCGAUUCCUCCCCACCCUCAUAAACUCUGCCCGACUGGUGACGGUUUCAUUAGAAGUUUUUGCAGGUGGUUGAAAGUUUGGUGGGACAGCAAUAUGAUGACGCCAACUGGACUGAAUUUCCUCCUACAGUGUCAACAGACGCAUACUUUAUUCUUAAUAAUAAAAUUAUUUUUAAAAUGUU